AUUGAACGCUGGCGGCAGGCCUAACACAUGCAAGUCGAGCGGAUGAAGGGAGCUUGCUCCUGGAUUCAGCGGCGGACGGGUGAGUAAUGCCUAGGAAUCUGCCUGGUAGUGGGGGAUAACGUCCGGAAACGGGCGCUAAUACCGCAUACGUCCUGAGGGAGAAAGUGGGGGAUCUUCGGACCUCACGCUAUCAGAUGAGCCUAGGUCGGAUUAGCUAGUUGGUGGGGUAAAGGCCUACCAAGGCGACGAUCCGUAACUGGUCUGAGAGGAUGAUCAGUCACACUGGAACUGAGAAACGGGCCAGAAUCCUACGGGAGGCAGCAGUGGGGAAUAUUGGACAAUGGGCGAAAGCCUGAUCCAGCCAUGCCGCGGGUGUGAAGAAGGUCUUCGGAUUGUAAAGCACUUUAAGUUGGGAGGAAGGGCAGUAAGUUAAUACCUUGCUGUUUGGACGUUACCAACAGAAUAAGCACCGGCUAACUGCGU
rnacentral:rRNA from 1 species